CAGAUGUUGCUGCUCUUACUGAAGUUAAAAAGAAGAAGUUGAAGAGUACUUUAAUCUGCUGACUGAGAGAGACUGAUGGAAAUACUUUAAUUGGAACAGAAUUUCCUUUUAUCUUUGCUGCAAGGACAAUGGUAUCUUUUCUUCGGAAGAGUGGGAGAGCUUGUGCCAGGACUUGCAAGCAUAGCCUUAAUGGACUGAGGCUGAAACUUCUUUAGAAAUAGGCAAUCAGCCGAGAGAAGUAUGCUGGGAGGCAUGCUAACGUCCAAGAAAGAAAAUUGCAAGAUCGUUAUGCAAUAAUAAAUGCAAAAGGACUUUGUCUGCUGCUGGCUCUGCUUCAUACCUGCCUAGGGCAUUUGCCUGAAUUAAAACUGCUUUGAUGAAAUGACAUUCAGAAUUUGAAUAUGAACAUGUGAAAAUGAACACCAAAACCUGUGGUCUGGCAUGAACAGCAAUGUAUUCAUACUGGUUCUCUUCCUUAUACACAGAUCUUUGUUACCAUGGCUGAUGGGUCAUCUGGCAGGACAAGAUAAUAAUGCACAUUUAAACCACUAAGUAUAAAAAAGAAGACAGACAAUUACCUUAAAAACAAAAAAAAGAUGAGUAAUUAGGUUGCUAAUGAAAAGAGCUGGCAAAAUAACAGAUCUGAUGCAACUUACGAAUCAAAUAUCGAACACUCAUAGAGCUCAUCAAACUAAUGAAGCUAUUAUAAAUGACAUAACUAGAACAAGAAAAGUAUCAGAAUGCCUAAACAAGGAUUACAAACACUGCAUCUUAGCAGCAACUGAUAAAAUGAAGAAACUUCUGGACAAGGAAUACAUAAGAAAGAAUUCAGGCUGAUAGACAUGCUAGAACAAUUGAUAAGAUCCCCAAAAGAAGUACUAGGUGUGUGUAUAAACUAAAGUACUUGAGUGUAGACAAUUAUAUUGGAUAAACAAAUAUCCCUGUUUAUAUACAGAUUUUUAAAAAAAUACCGAUAUUUUUUUUCAAAAAGGUGAAAUGAAUGGUUCCACCACA